ACUAUUUUCGUCGUCGUUGUGCAAUAAUCUCAACAAAAUGUCGGCCACAAUCAAGUUUCUAUCCGUUUUCUAUCUGUGUGUGGUGGUAGGCGCAGUAUGUGCGAAACAUGUUGAGCCUGAUUUUAAGCCAGUGUCUCAUCACGUUGCGCCUGAUCCUAAACCCACGUCUAACCAUGUUGCACCUGAUUCUAAGCCCGUGUCUCAUAAUGUUGCUAACAGUGGAAAUGUCGAUAAGAUAGUUAUAUAUUUCGGAAAUUCUGAUCACAACGAAGUUGGAGAUAAAUUAUUCAAUAAUAAAGAUUAUCAUAUGCGAGUCAAAAGGCAAUUAUUCAAUAUUGAUGAAAACGAGGGCUUCGGAGUGAAGUUAUUAUAAAGUCCGGAUAUGCGAGAUUUAAGAAGAACAAGGAACAAACCAGAGCGUAUGGAUAUACUUCAAUUUCAGACUACACACCUACUAGAACACAAAAAUUUUGUCCAGCUUACAAACCAAUUAGUUUAAAGAAUUCUUUAUCGUUUCGACU